UGCCAGUCUAACCUGCUAGUAAAUUUUAGUAAUAGAGGAUUAGUAUGCAUAAAUGUGCACAUCAUGCUUAAUAUAUUUUCCUUUUUUAAUACACUAUCUAGGAAAGCUGGUUUAUUGUACAAUAUGAUUUUAGUUUUGGAUUAAGUCACAUCUAUAUUUUUAUUCUAGCAUGAAUUUUAGUCCAGUUAACACAUUACAUUCUUUGUAGAAACAAGUGGAGUGGCCAAGGAGGAGAAAAUUGGAGGAAACAACAGAGACGGUGACACAACUGAUUGCUCUGAAUCUCUCCUGUUGCCUGUUCACGUUGUAUCAGUUCAAGACGAGAGAGAAACAGCGAUUUCAGUCCAGCCUCCUGCUUCAGAGAAUCCUGCCACAUUCUGGAGAAAAUGCAGAGAAGCUGGCUGUGUGGAGCAAAUCAUGAACAAGUUAACUGCAACCGUGACUGAUAUUUCAGAGAGAAUAAUUGCCGACCGAGCCAGUGAUGAAGAUUAUGCCUUUGCCAUGACAGUAUUAGAGGCAUCUGGAAUGUUACCAAAUGUACUUCAAGAAAAGGAAAGAGAAUUGAAGGAGCAACUGGAAAAUCUUAAGAAGGAAAUAGAUGCCCUGAGAAGCUCACAACAUGCAAUAAAUGAACUAAAACAGAGUCAUAGUAUUAAACAAGAGAGCAAUUCAUGUUAGAUGAUUGAUGCAUACUGAGCACCUCUGCCAGCAGCCAUAUCACCCUGCAACUCACAAGUGGCAGCCCCCUGAAGCUCAGCAGGUGGGAACCUGGUCAC